AGAGUUUGAUCCUGGCUCAGGAUAAACGCUGGCGGCGUGCAUAACACAUGCAAGUCGAACGAUGAAACUUAGAUGAUUUCUUCGGAAUGAACUUAAGUGGAUUAGUGGCGAACGGGUGAGUAACACGUGAGUAACCUGCCUUACACAAGGGGAUAGCCUCUGGAAACGGAGAAUAAUACCCUAUAAAGUCUAAUCAGCACAUGCUGGAAAGACCAAAGAUUUAUCGGUGUAAGAUGGACUUGCGUCUGAUUAGCUAGUUGGUGAGAUAAAAGCUCACCAAGGCGACGAUCAGUAGCCGGCUUGAGAGAGUGUACGGCCACAUUGGGACUGAGACACGGCCCAAACUCCUACGGGAGGCAGCAGUGGGGACCUACGGGAGGCAGCAGUGGGGAAUUUUGCACAAUGGGGGAAACCCUGAUGCAGCGACGCCGCGUGAUUUAGAAGGCCUUCGGGUUGUAAAAAUCUUUUUUACGGGAUGAAAAUGACAGUACCGUAAGAAUAAGGUCCGGCUAAAUACGUGCCAGCAGCCGCGGUAAUACGUAUGGACCGAGCGUUGUCCGGAAUCAUUGGGCGUAAAGGGUACGUAGGCGGCCUAGUAAGUUAGAAGUUAAAGAAUAUAGCUCAACUAUAUAAAGCUUUUAAAACUGCUAGGCUUGAGAGAUGGAAGGGAAAGUGGAAUUCCUAGUGUAGCGGUGAAAUGCGCAGAUAUUAGGAAGAAUACCGGUGGCGAAGGCGACUUUCUGGUCAUCAUCUGACGCUGAGGUACGAAAGCGUGGGUAGCAAACAGGAUUAGAUACCCUGGUAGUCCACGCUGUAAACGAUGAGUGUUAGGUUCUUGGAAUAAUCUGGGAGCCGCAGCUAACGCAUUAAACACUCCGCCUGGGGAGUACGCACGCAAGUGUGAAACUCAAAGGAAUUGACGGGGACCCGCACAAGCAGCGGAGCAUGUG
rnacentral:rRNA from 1 species